rnacentral:lncRNA from 1 species
UAAGUAUAAUUAUUUGAACUUGUUUUGAAGCUGGGGGUUUUGGAGAGUGGGUGAUAAGUCUGGGUCAGUUCCAAAAGAGAUCAACAGAUGCUGAGCAAAAAGCAAAAUUUCAGCAGAGACCAAAAGUACAAAGUCAAAGAUAAUAUAAAAAUAUAAGCCUACAAGGAGCUAAGGAAUUUUGAGGACAGGGCUUUGGGCUUUGGUAAAGGUUGCAAAUCCAUCUUAUCUGAAGUGGCUAGGAAACUCCAGCUAACAGCUGAGUUACAGGGCCAACCAGUGCCCCCCAUUCUUAUGGCUAGUGAUUACAGAGGGACAGCAAAAAUGCUCCCAUUGCCAUGCCUGCAACUCAGCACCUGCAGUGACCUUGAGGAGGCUCUCAGAGAAAAAUCUCUCUUCUUGCUGCUCAGUUAACAUUUUACAGUGAAUUUUGAUAUGUGGACCAUCCUAAUGAAGACCAGUCACACACAAACUGGAAUUAUCCAAAUUUUAUAGAAAUGGCUUCUGUGGUUUUAUACUUAAAAAUGAAUGUAGCUCCAGGAGGAUCCCACUCAAACAUAUCUGGCACUUCUGAAUGUCUUUACAUAUAGAAAAUGUAGUCUGAUUGGCCUCAAGUUCAUUGUUGAUGGCCAGAGUUCACCAGUUAUUUACAUUUCUGUCUUCAGAAUAAGUUAUCUCUAGGGAAUAUGUUACACCACCAGCAGCUGUUGUGUGGAUUUUAACUGGGUUCGGGUAAUAGGAAAAUGGUUUUAUGAGUCAAAAAAUGUAGUGUUGCCUUCCUUCUCAAUUGUCUGAAUGCUGUCAUCACUGCCCCCAAAUUAUUAUCUCAACUUUGGUUCUUUAGCAGAUUUUGUGUCUUGGAACACAGUGAAGCAGGAGUAACUGAUUAUACAUAUUUAUUUCCUAAGGCUAUAGUGCCUGUAAAAGUGCAGUCUGAGAUGAUGAUAUGGAGUUAGAAAACCUGUGUCUGAGGGCUGGCGCUGCCUCAUAGCUGGCAACUGGGUUGUCCUGUGGAUUUCCACAGGGAGGCUUUUCCUUUGUAUAGGUGUAUAUUCUUUUUUUUUUUUUUUUUUUUUGAAUGCUCAUACCUCUGGGGAAGUGUCAUAAAUUCAAACCCCCUCCUGCUCAGUCUGUCUCUCUCUGUCCAUCCAUCCAUCUAUCCAAUCUCUCCUUUAUUGUUUAUUAUAUCUUUAAAAAAAAAAGCUAUUUUUGGGUGAGGAGAGCAAGUAGAAGAAGUAGCUAAGGCCUAGCAACAUACCUCAGAGUCGUUUUGCACUUGCCCUGGGCUCAUACUGACCUCCUGGUUUUUAUGUGCAGGCCCUGGCUCCUUUCUACACUAGGCAUGUCCUGGCAGCAGGAGACCUUGGUCAGGAGAUCUCAGCAGCGUUGGUUGCUUACCGCAGGCAAGGACUCAUACAGCCUGGGCAAGCUGCUCUUGGAUGGAUCCCUGAUCUGUCCUGGACCAUGUCCACCACAGCAGCCUCAUCUCAUUCCAGUUCAGGGUCUAGGCAUUUGUCAUGGACUCACAAGCCCCAGGAUGGAUCAGUGGUCUCUGCUAGAACUGUGAAGUCUGACAGUUGGCAGCUUUCUGGCAGAGUGAGUCUCAGAAGGUCUGCUUAAGCUGGGUGAUUAAGCUCUGGUCAUUCCCAGCUUUGGGAUAGGCUUAUAUGCGGUGGGUGGCCUGCAUAUCAGAUUCAUGCAUUUGUACAUUCCACAUGUAUUAAGCACGCUCUGUGAGCCAGGCCCUCUGAGCCACUGAAUAUCAUAGGGUGCCCAACACCCCUCAAUUCCCACCCCCCCAGUUGUUGGAGCUCUGCACUUAUCUGGAGACGGGCCUGAAGGCUCCUCAACCCUUCCAGGGCCAACUGGGCACAUAGUUGCUGGGAAUGAGUUGGCAAGGGACCCUCAGAGGCUGAUCUGGAGUGGGCUGACCGAAGGUACUUCCUGCUCCAGGCUGGCACACCAGGGUCUGCAGAGCUGUGUUCUUUUGCUUCCUGUUGGAAAGGACUAUGGUAAAGAGGGGAGGAAGUGAAUUUCCAUUCUUUUCUUGGAGGUUAGGACAGUCUGACCUGAGCCCCUACAACAGCAUUUUGAGUCUGGCCUCUGCAGGCCUGAGAAGAGGUUCUGGUAGGCAGAAGAGUUCAACACCUGGGAAUCUGCAGAGGGGAGGGAUGAAUGUGGCCAGAGAGUGGACUAGAAAAUGAUCACAGAUGAGGAUGUAAUAGACACAAAGUCAUAAAUGGGAUGGUGGCCAGUAGGAUGGUUGGAAAGUUUGGGUUUGUCACUCCUCACAGGAAGGAUUAGAUCUUUUUGCCUUAUAUUCCUGUAUCUAGCACAGCACUUAAUCACACAUGCUAGUUAAUUUGAAUUACGUUUCACAGACAAUUCCUGAAAAUGUGUAUUAAAUUUAGCAGAGGCUGACAAACCACCCCCACCCAAGACAUGAAGGAUCGGGAAAAGCUAUGCAUGGGCUAAACAUUUUACAUUAUUAUCCCACUGAAACUUUUAAAGAGCCCCACAAGGUUGAUAAGAUCAUCCCCUGAAGAUGAGGAAACUGAGCCUCAGGUAAGUUAUUUGGCCCACUUCACGAGGCUAUGAUGUUGUGAGGAUGGGGCUACAAAGUAUGGGUGACCAGGAGGGAUUGAUUUUCAAAGUUCACGUCUACUCCUCAAACCACUUCCGCGAGCUCUGUGGGAGCAGAGGUCACUCUCUAGUCACCUUUGUGGUCCUGUCACUGGGCCUGAACAUGGAAACCAGUCAACACACCUUUGAAGAAAUGAAUGAAUGAAUGAUAAAUGCAGUGGCAUCUUUGUUCAUGAAUAUGUGUUUGGUGAGUUCUUGGCCAUGGAGUUCACAUAAGUAGGAUGGAUAGAGACUCAGUUUUUGAGGUCUUUAUCAAUAAAAGGCAGGGAUCACAUUUUCUAUUUCUUUGAUGUUAUAUAUUCAAUAGGUGCUGCAUUUACCCUCUUUAUUAUAAUGCUCCUGUUACCUAAACUCUUUUAGAUACAGCUUCGAUCUCCAAAAGUUAACAUCACAUUGGUUCAAGCCCCGGAGAAAUUUUGAGCAUUUGUCGAACUAUUGGAAAAAUACUUGGGACUUUUUCCUUUCCUUUAUCUGACCCAUCUUUAUCAGCUCACAAAACUGAAAGCUUGCAAGGUCAUUUCUAACUGUUUCUGGGACUUAAUGCUGCUCCUUUCAUGAAAGCAAUUCAAAAUCUGUCUGUUCAAACACACAUUUUCUUCAAACAAAAGUGUAUUUGCUAUAUAUAGAAUAAUACCACCAGAGGACUAAUUUGGCAGCUUUGUUGAUUACCCAUUGUAAUGAGCCUUAUUACAUAAUUAAAAGAAUUUUUUUUCCUAACUGCAUUUCACUACUAAUUAACAUUUUACACAUUCUGCAGUGGACACGUUGGAUUGAAUCAGAGACAUAAUUAUGUCAUUUCUAUGCAAAGAACAGCUUAUGAAUUAUUAAUUAAUAUUAAAUCUGUUGAUUAAAGGCUAAUUCAUAAGUAAACAUAUUAGAGCCUACCAUGUACUGCUCCCUAGAACCUUUCUUUGGCAAUUUCUGUGGUUCUUCAUCCCCUGAAGCACAUGGAGGGUGCAAGCAGGCUACAGAAAGCAGUCACUUACUUCCUUAAUAUUUUCUUUAACUCCAAAGUGGAGGGUUGUUCUCUUGCAAUACACAGGCAUAUCUGCUGCCUGAAACCCUGCCAGCUUGGGGUGCACUGGGGAAUGAGGGUCUCCAUCGUGUCUGGGGCAGCCCUUCCCAGGACUUCACUGGGAUCCCCGCCGACACCCAGUUGUGGGGAGCAAACUGCCAGGUACAGCUGAAGGGAAGUUGUGUGCCCACACAUCUCGAGGCAUCUCUGUUACCCCACUUUUAGGUCCAUCCCCAAACCCCAGGGCCUGGCUGUAAGCACUGCAGCCUGGCACUGAUGGCACACAUGUAGGCUGUGAAUACUGCUCAUCUCACACCACGGAUGGCACAACUGUGACCGUUCUUCUCCCCAGUAGUCAGCUAGUCAAACUGAUGAGGUACCGCUUCCUUAAUUACACUUUGGAUUAUUCCUAUUCUGCUUUCUAAGGUUUAAGUAGGAAGCUUUUUGUCAGUUAUUUCUGUGGGAGGAUUUUUUUUUAAUUACCGAUGUAAAUUCCUUAAAUCCCUAUCUGAAUAUUUUAUUCAUUAAUCAUGGGUUAGCUUUGCUCUGUUCCUUGGCCUGGCAGCUCUCUCUCUAACCUGAGUUCCCUGUCCCACAUACACGUUUCAUAUCACAGCGUGUGUGUGCGUGUGUGUGUGUGUGGUUUCCAUGGGAAGAGUCAUUUUCUGCUGCUUUGGGUGGGGUCCAAGCUGGGAAUUAUUAUUUUAAACCUUUGUAUAAAGUAUUGUGUUACUUUCCAUAUCAUUGUUUAAUGAAUUCAUCCACAUAUGCACUCCUAUUGCAGGCAACAUUGGCACAACAAUAUGUUUUAUAUUUGUAUGUAUUUAGUAAAAUUGUCCACACCUAUCAAUUCAUUUAGUCCUCAAAGAGGACAAAGAGCAAAAAGUAUUGUUAUUCUGACUUUAUCCAAAAAUAUGUCACAAAAAGACUGAAUGGUUUAGACAUUGUCCCAUAGCUAUUUACUCUUGAAAGUGGGAAUAGACCCUUUUUGUUAACUUCUAUUUAACUGCUCUUCUAAGUACAUAAAAUCCUAUAAAUCCUCUCCCCAAUUCUUCCCUACUUAUAUCCAUCUGGUGGAAGGUGAACAUGUAAAGCCUGGAUAUUAGACUUGUGUUGAUCUCCCAAUACUUCAACCUGGUUGAUCAACUCUUUGAGAUAGAAAAACUUCUGAUGGCUGGUUAAAGUAUAAACAUCCACAGAAUGAACACCAUGUCGUGUCAUCAAAGUCACUUAGCCCAGAGUGGUUGAGUUUAGUGAUGCCUUUCCUCAGAGUAUUCUUUUCUAGAAGUAAAGAAAGCAUCAUUGGCCUUAGUCAUACAAAUUUGGGGAAACCCAAGCUGUCUCUUUACGUAGUAGGUGAAGAGCUUCUAAAUUCAGCAUGAGCCUUAAGUGAUAAUCUGAUAUAAGCUUGUUAUAGAACUGAAUGAAUUAUUUAGGGAGGGCUGAGCUGCCACAACAGGAUCUAUCAAAAUUUCAGCAGACCCAGAAAUCCAUAAGUUUUUAUACUCUUAUCCAGGGAAAUAUUCUAGGUCAGUGGCUGACUCAUUAUUUAGUGGCCCAUGCUGGUGGCAACAUUGUCAUCUUUAACAGCUGAUUCCCAAAUCCCCUUGCUCUUUGCUUUUCCCCACCCCAGGGGAAACAGAGACAAGCAUGGAGAGGUAUAGCCUGGUCUUAAGCUUCCACAGCCUGGAAGUGCCUGCAUCGCUGCCACUCGCAUUCCAUCAUCCAGUAGUUACAUGGUCACACCUAGCUAAUGGCAAAAGAAGCUGGGGAACAUAGUCCAGUUACAUACAAGAAGAGGAGCUGGGGAAUCCCUGUCGUGGCUCAGAGGAAACAAAUCUGACUAGCAUCCAUGAACAUGCAGAUUCGAUCCCUGACCUUGCUCACUGGGUUAAGGAUCUGGUGUUGCUGUGAGCUGUGGUAUAGACCAGUGGCUACAGCUCUGAUUCGACCCCUAGCCUGGGAACUUCCACAUGGCAUGAGUGUGGCCCUAAAAAGACCCC